rnacentral:rRNA from 1 species
GUGGGCCAUAUUUUUGGCUUAAGGUACGUGCUAAUCCCUCAGGAAACUGAGCUCUCUAUAAUUAGACCCGAUAAGUCGAAGUAUAGAGGGGACCUAGGGCUAUACGUGUAUAGCCCUAGGUUGGAGCUGGAAUAUGUUUCCAGCGAUCAGCUGUGAUGCCCUUAGAUGUUCUGGGCCGCACGCGCGUUACACUGACAGAGCCAGCGAGUACUUCCUUGGUAGAAAUAUCUGGGUAAUCUUGUGAAACUCU